GCCUGGAUUGAGGUCCUCCAAUUCAUAGAUCUUGAAUCGGAGCAUUCUAGAUGGAGAAAAAGGUAGAUGGAGACAGACCUUGCAGAUCUAUCCUGCUGUAGCCUUUCCUGUAGAUCUGUUGAUGGAGAUCUCACCCGUGCCUCAAACGACCUCAGAUCAACUCCAGAUCUGAGAGGGACUUGUAUCAACCUCUUUGCAAGAGAUUCCAAGUCCUGAACCUGAUGCUUGGGUGGCUACAAGAGAGGG
rnacentral:lncRNA from 1 species